rnacentral:tRNA from 1 species
GCAGUGGUGGUUCAGUGUACAAUGCUCGUCUUCCAUGUGGGAGACCCAGGUUUGAUUCCCAGCCACUUCA